UGCCCGCUUCACCUCCCUGAGCGGGGGCCUCGACGUGUAACAACCAACAGGCUUGCCACCCCGGCCCGCUGCGCUUGCACCGGCCGGGGUAUUUUUU
rnacentral:ncRNA from 1 species